CACGUAGGGCGCAAGCGUUGUCCGGAAUUACUGGGCGUAAAGGGCUCGUAGGCGGCCAACUAAGUCCGACGUGAAAUCCCAAAGCUUAACUUUGGAACUGCGUCGGAUACUGGAUGGCUUGAAUUCGGGAGAGGGAUGCAGAAUUCCAGGUGUAGCGGUGAAAUGCGUAGAUAUCUGGAGGAAUACCGGUGGCGAAGGCGGCAUCCUGGACCGACAUUGACGCUGAUGAGCGAAAGCUAGGGGAGCAAACGGG
rnacentral:rRNA from 1 species